rnacentral:rRNA from 1 species
GAUGCAAGGUUAAGCAGUAAAUGUGGAGCCGUAGCGAAAGCGAGUCUGAAUAGGGCGUUUAGUAUUUGGUCGUAGACCCGAAACCAGGUGAUCUACCCUUGGUCAGGUUGAAGUUCAGGUAACACUGAAUGGAGGACCGAACCGACUUACGUUGAAAAGUGAGCGGAUGAACUGAGGGUAGCGGAGAAAUUCCAAUCGAACCUGGAGAUAGCUGGUUCUCUCCGAAAUAGCUUUAGGGCUAGCCUCAAGUGAUGAUUAUUGGAGGUAGAGCACUGUUUGGACGAGGGGCCCCUCUCGGGUUACCGAAUUCAGACAAACUCCGAAUGCCAAUUAAUUUAACUUGGGAGUCAGAACAUGGGUGAUAAGGUCCGUGUUCGAAAGGGAAACAGCCCAGACCACCAGCUAAGGUCCCAAAAUAUAUGUUAAGUGGAAAAGGAUGUGGCGUUGCCCAGACAACUAGGAUGUUGGCUUAGAAGCAGCCAUCAUUUAAAGAGUGCGUAAUAGCUCACUAGUCGAGUGACACUGCGCCGAAAAUGUACCGGGGCUAAACAUAUUACCGAAGCUGUGGAUUGUCCUUUGGACAAUGGUAGGAGAGCGUUCUAAGGGCGUUGAAGCAUGAUCGUAAGGACAUGUGGAGCGCUUAGAAGUGAGAAUGCCGGUGUGAGUAGCGAAAGACGGGUGAGAAUCCCGUCCACCGAUUGACUAAGGUUUCCAGAGGAAGGCUCGUCCGCUCUGGGUUAGUCGGGUCCUAAGCUGAGGCCGACAGGCGUAGGCGAUGGAUAACAGGUUGAUAUUCCUGUACCACCUAUAAUCGUUUUAAUCGAUGGGGGGACGCAGUAGGAUAGGCGAAGCGUGCGAUUGGAUUGCACGUCUAAGCAGUAAGGCUGA